GACGAACGCUUGCCUCGUGCCUAAUACAUGCAAGUUGAGCGCUGAAGGUUGGUACUUGUACCAACUGGAUGAGCAGCGCACGGGUGAGUAACGCGUGGGGAAUCUGCCUUUGAGCGGGGGACAACAUUUGGAAACGAAUGCUAAUACCGCAUAAAAACUUUAAACACAAGUUUUAAGUUUGAAAGAUGCAAUUGCAUCACUCAAAGAUGAUCCCGCGUUGUAUUAGCUAGUUGGUGAGGUAAAGGCUCACCAAGGCGAUGAUACAUAGCCGACCUGAGAGGGUGAUCGGCCACAUUGGGACUGAGACACGGCCCAAACUCCUACGGGAGGCAGCAGUAGGGAAUCUUCGGCAAUGGACGAAAGUCUGACCGAGCAACGCCGCGUGAGUGAAGAAGGUUUUCGGAUCGUAAAACUCUGUUGGUAGAGAAGAACGUUGGUGAGAGUGGAAAGCUCAUCAAGUGACGGUAACUACCCAGAAAGGGACGGCUAACUACGUG
rnacentral:rRNA from 1 species